ensembl:antisense
GCACUUGACUUUAAGACUUAAACUUGACUUAAACUUUCAAUUUAUUCAAAAUCAUAUAUAUAUGUAUAUUUGUAAAUAUUUGUAUUUUUCUUUUAUUUAUUAAAACAAUUAUAAAAAAGAAAAGUUAUUUAAUUUAAAGUACUGAGUUUUUCUUUGUGUUGUUGUAUGUCUCUUUUUUCUCUUCUCUUUUCCGACAGGUUUCAUUAUGAGCACACAGGUGCAGUGAAUCAGGUGUCGACACGUGGAAGCUUGCCGGCGUGUUUGUAAAGUCCAUUUAAACCAGAUUAGAAGAUCGCUUGGAAAGUCUCCUCUCUCCUGGCUUGUUUUGUUUAUUUGUUAAAACCUAUUUGCUCGACGAUAUUGUCGAAUUUUACAAUGAGUGUUGACUAUUAUUGUGAUCCAUGUAUGUUGAUGCUUGUGAUAAGAAAGCUGGGCCUGAAUGCGUCAGCCGAAUACUAAUAUCUCCAGACUGCCAUUCCCUAUGAGACGCGUACGAGCGGCCUGCAUGCAUAGACUCUGUUACAUAAUUAAUGCAGUGUGCCUUCUCAUUCAGGCAUGUUCACUGUGUCAGUCUUGGCUAUGCGUUUUAAAUUCCGUUUUAUCUUGUUUUUCAAGCUGGCCUAUCUCAUUCGCUUUCUUUCGCUCUUUUGUCUUUCUCUUCUUCUGUCUCUCACUCUCUGCUUCUUUCUCCUAGUUCUUUUAACCGAACUCCCUCAUUAUUUCCCUCUCUCCUUUCACAUUCUAUCUUUUCAGAUAACUCAGAGAGACCGUAUAUCGCCUGACUGCUUGUUAAUGUCACAUUCUCUUCUUUUUUUUAGUUGAUUUGCCGACGCAUAUAGGUACAGACGCUUGGAAAAGGGCUACCUGUAACAGAAGUACCUCAUUCUAUCAUGCCAUCAUUUCCUGGCAUGACGAGAGUCAGAAGCCAAGAGGAGGAGCCCUGCUGGCUCACCUGAUGCUUGCUGUACCACCUAGGAGAUCUACGCCAUCCAAACCAAGCUCCAGGUUGCGACGGAUCUCCCUCGACCCCACCCUCCCUUGUUGUUAGCCGUGGCAGGCUGAAGGAUGGAGCAGACUGGAGCAAAUCUCACCUCAGGCAGCGGCAUGCCGUUGAUGAUGAGGUCAGGCUGCUGAGGGCCCUGCCCUGUGAAGGUGUGGUGGUAGCCAUGGUUGGGUGCAGCAUUCCUGGAGUUCUGGUUCUCCACGUUGAGGAAGGUGCUCUCGGAGCGCCUGCAGCCCAGCGGCAGAGUCUGCUGGUGGUAGUCGAAGUAGUUGAGCGAAGAGGUGAGAGACGAGCAACUCACCACAUUCAUCUUGUCCGUCUCCUCCACGUCCCGCGGCACCAGCCGGAUGUCAUUCUUGCUCAGCUUCUUCUUCUUGCUGGACUUCUUCUGGUUGCCGUAGGAGUACUCCGCCACCCUGCGCAGGUACAAGAAACUGAACAGACUCAAUAAAGCAAUGCUCUGCCUUCCUCACUGCACGCACAGCCAGUGCCAGGUCUCCGCCUGGCUCGGGCUGAGGUGCCAGACCCAUAUUCAUUGGCGGCACGAGAGAGAGCGUAGCCACAUUCGAGCAACCUCCGGCCGCCAAUGGAGCCGACAUCCCUCAUUUGUUUGCAUUUUCAUGCUCGGCGAUUUGACUUGUUACAAACAUACAUACACAAUGCAAACAUGCCAAACCACAGAAGCACACACGGCGACAAAUGACACUGAGCAUCAUUGUGAGUGUAAGCAUUAAUAUGCAAAGUUAAGCUGGCGUUUGUCUACUUUUUCGCUUGUGUUACUAACACGCCUGCUGGCAGGUGGGUUGUGAAUUUCAAUUCUGUUAGCUACGCUCUGUGGCUAACGCUAACUUGAUUUGAGGGCUUUGAUUGUAAUCACAGUAAAUGAGAAACUUUGAAAUCUUGCCCUGAAGGAUGCUUAAGUUGGAAAUCUAAACAUAAACUAAUCUGGAGAGUUGAGUAUUUGUCUGGGCUUAUCCCCCCUCUCUCUUUUUUUCACUGCAUCUUAUAACCCUGAAACAAUUUUACAAGUAUUUAUUUUUAUGUGCUCCGAAGGGCACACAUUCGUUGCAAAGUACGGCUUUAGCUUAAUGGUACUGUCGCUUCACCUGCACAACACAAAGCUCCUCUUUCUGUGCUUUUCAUUUGGAUUCAGCUUGUGUCUCCCUGCUCCUUACUUUUUUGUGGCUCGGAAAAAAAUGAUAACGGUGCAGGACCUUAUCUUUUUAGGAGGCAUCUAAAAGCAUUUUUUCUUCUGCGCGACUGAAAGCACAGAAAAAGUUAGGCAGUCUGAGGCAUGCUUAAUAGCUGGUCGAAAAAUAUACUAUUCUUGUCAUUCAAUGGAAUAGUGAGCUUUUUGUCUUUCGUUAAAGAAAAAGUAUCACAGAAAUAUGCAAAGAGAUACAGUUGAAGUCAGAAUGUUAGC